GACGUAGGGUGCGAGCGUUGUCCGGAAUCACUGGGCGUAAAGCGCGCGCAGGCGGCGAUCUACGUCUGGGGUGAAAGCCCGGAGCUCAACUCCGGGACUGCCUUGGAUACGGGAUCGCUUGAGGAUUGGAGAGGCAAGGGGAAUUCCACGUGUAGCGGUGAAAUGCGUAGAUAUGUGGAGGAACACCUGUGGCGAAGGCGCCUUGCUGGCCAAUUUCUGACGCUGAGGCGCGAAAGCUAGGGGAGCAAACGGG
rnacentral:rRNA from 1 species